GUUAAGCGACUAAGCGUACACGGUGGAUGCCCUGGCAGUCAGAGGCGAUGAAGGACGUGCUAAUCUGCGAUAAGCGUCGGUAAGGUGAUAUGAACCGUUAUAACCGGCGAUUUCCGAAUGGGGAAACCCAGUGUGUUUCGACACACUAUCAUUAACUGAAUCCAUAGGUUAAUGAGGCGAACCGGGGGAACUGAAACAUCUAAGUACCCCGAGGAAAAGAAAUCAACCGAGAUUCCCCCAGUAGCGGCGAGCGAACGGGGAGCAGCCCAGAGCCUGAAUCAGUGUGUGUGUUAGUGGAAGCGUCUGGAAAGGCGCGCGAUACAGGGUGACAGCCCCGUACACAAAAAUGCACAUGCUGUGAGCUCGAUGAGUAGGGCGGGACACGUGGUAUCCUGUCUGAAUAUGGGGGGACCAUCCUCCAAGGCUAAAUACUCCUGACUGACCGAUAGUGAACCAGUACCGUGAGGGAAAGGCGAAAAGAACCCCGGCGAGGGGAGUGAAAAAGAACCUGAAACCGUGUACGUACAAGCAGUGGGAGCACGCUUAGGCGUGUGACUGCGUACCUUUUGUAUAAUGGGUCAGCGACUUAUAUUCUGUAGCAAGGUUAACCGAAUAGGGGAGCCGAAGGGAAACCGAGUCUUAACUGGGCGUUAAGUUGCAGGGUAUAGACCCGAAACCCGGUGAUCUAGCCAUGGGCAGGUUGAAGGUUGGGUAACACUAACUGGAGGACCGAACCGACUAAUGUUGAAAAAUUAGCGGAUGACUUGUGGCUGGGGGUGAAAGGCCAAUCAAACCGGGAGAUAGCUGGUUCUCCCCGAAAGCUAUUUAGGUAGCGCCUCGUGAAUUCAUCUCCGGGGGUAGAGCACUGUUUCGGCAAGGGGGUCAUCCCGACUUACCAACCCGAUGCAAACUGCGAAUACCGGAGAAUGUUAUCACGGGAGACACACGGCGGGUGCUAACGUCCGUCGUGAAGAGGGAAACAACCCAGACCGCCAGCUAAGGUCCCAAAGUCAUGGUUAAGUGGGAAACGAUGUGGGAAGGCCCAGACAGCCAGGAUGUUGGCUUAGAAGCAGCCAUCAUUUAAAGAAAGCGUAAUAGCUCACUGGUCGAGUCGGCCUGCGCGGAAGAUGUAACGGGGCUAAACCAUGCACCGAAGCUGCGGCAGCGACGCUUAUGCGUUGUUGGGUAGGGGAGCGUUCUGUAAGCCUGCGAAGGUGUGCUGUGAGGCAUGCUGGAGGUAUCAGAAGUGCGAAUGCUGACAUAAGUAACGAUAAAGCGGGUGAAAAGCCCGCUCGCCGGAAGACCAAGGGUUCCUGUCCAACGUUAAUCGGGGCAGGGUGAGUCGACCCCUAAGGCGAGGCCGAAAGGCGUAGUCGAUGGGAAACAGGUUAAUAUUCCUGUACUUGGUGUUACUGCGAAGGGGGGACGGAGAAGGCUAUGUUGGCCGGGCGACGGUUGUCCCGGUUUAAGCGUGUAGGCUGGUUUUCCAGGCAAAUCCGGAAAAUCAAGGCUGA
rnacentral:rRNA from 1 species